GCUGCGCUUCCUCUGCCUCGCCCCCUCCCCUGCGGAGCGACCCGAAAGGACCUGCGCCUCCUCUCUAGCCUCCGCUCGUUUUUAAGUCCCUAUUUGCAACUUCUGCCUCAUGAACCAUUCCCUGCAGCAGAAUGAGAUGACGAAGAAUAAAGUGUGUAUUAGAAGAUCGCGAGCCCUAGUCCUGGUUUUAUCACUAGCUCUGCAGAGCUGGGCAAGUGCUCGGAGUAGCCUUUCUGAGCCUCACCGUCCUGGACAGUGAAAUGGAGAGCAAGCCGGUCUCAGAGCUGAGACUGAGGCUCUGAGCACUGUGAGCUGUGCUGUUGUGUAAAGUUUUGCCUCGGGCUUGUAGUUCACUAGUUCAGAGACCAGCACAGAACAUGUAUGUGGAUGAAGAAUAUUUCUCAACAAGCACUAAUUGACAAGCAAAACAUGAAAAAGAUUAAUGCUGUUAGGAUGUAGUCUGUUCCCAGUAUCCACGAGUUUUCUCCAAGGAAGGCUGGCAGUGAUGCACAGCCUGCUCUGGGGUAGGAACCGGUCACAGGGCCUGGGGAGACUUCGGAGCUGUUGUGAAGUCCCCGGGCCCAGAUAGCAGCGUGAGGGGAGGAACAGUGCUGCGACCAGGAGGGGAGAGGCCCGCAGCAACUCAUCCGGGAACCCCCAGAGUGGACAAAACCCUGUGAUGCCUGAGACUCCACUCUUCACCCUGGGUUAAGGCGGCUCUUCAGCAGUGUUUUGCAGUUCAUGAAAUGAACAGAAGGAGGCGCCAUUUCUGUACUCUUCCUGCUCAGUAAUGAGGCACCUAGUGAUAGGAUUUACCACUUAUAUUUCAUUUUACAGUUUUGAGAGUGUUUCUGAUUUGAUCCUUACAGCAACUAGGUAACAGGACCUGACUGGAGACAGGUCCUAUUCUCUCCAUUUUACAGACAGAAAACUGAGAGGCAGCCAGUUGAAGUGACUCAGUGUCAGACAAUUAAGCUGCAGAGCUAGCUCUUUGACACCUGAGUCAGUGUCCUUCUAGAAUAAAGCAGAGUUAUCAGGGAGAACUGAGAAAUGGACAGACCCCAAGAACUCUGACAACAGGAGCAAAGACCCACUCUAGGAGCCGUUCCACACGGAGUGGCCUGGGGACCCUGCUGCUCUUAGGACACUCAGAAGUCAAGCGGAACCUGCUCCCAGGUUUCCAACAUAUCAUUACAUUUAGCUUUGUUGGGUCAUUCCGUGGUCGGAGCCAUGAGUUGAGUUUGGUCAAGGGGAAGGAAGGGUAUAAGCAGAAAUGGGUUGGGCACCUGCCACUUUUCCAGCCCAUGCCUCUCUUCUCAGGGACAUAAAGACACCCGAAGUAACCCUCAGUGGCUACAAGUUGGGAACCCUUUAAAAUGAUUGCUGUUGACAAAGGCUAGAAGGCCUGGUAUGAUGUCAGAGAUCCAGAUGCCUAGGCAGCCUCUGCUUGCAAGAAGCCUAGGGUAGAGACACAAGAGCCUCUGAAUCAGCAUAAAAAUUUGGCCAGAGAAUGUUUUUCCAUAUCAAUGUAUUACUUAGCAAUGGUUGCAAUAGUGCUCUGUAAUAAAAACACUCACAUCUCAGUGACACACAACCAAAAGCAUUUGUUUUCUUGUUCACAAGUCUGUGGGUUGGCUGGGCCCCCUCUGGAUUGAGGCUGGGGGUC